rnacentral:lncRNA from 1 species
AAAAGUAGAAAUAUUUCUACUAGCUUUUGUCUUCCUUUUCAUUAUAGAGUAUUUUGUAAGAGAGUGAGUGUUGGGAAACACUUGCGUGAACCCUUUCUUUCGAUUGAUCUUUUGAUGUUAUUCUCUAGUGGUAUUUGGGACUAAUUAGAGUAUUUGCUCUAAUUUUGUAUUCUCUUAUGUACUCUUGUUGGUAUAGUGAAAUUGCUUCUCUCUGCUUGUGGACGUAGGUUUCCUUGACUGAACCACGUUAAAUUUGUACAUUUUUUAAUCUGCUUUAAUUACAUUUAUUAUCAACUUGUAUUGUCUUUGUUAUUGUCAUUAUAACAUUAUUUGGCUAAAUUCCGCAUUAACCGAGUUUUCGAUCCUAACAUUGAUGAUAAGCCAGUGAUUUUUGUCAAUUACAAGGGUGAAGAAAGCAGUUUGACGCCGAGGAGAUCUCAUUUAUGGUGCUCAUAAAAAGAAGAAAGAAAUUGCUAGUUCCUGAACCACAUAUCGGUUUGUUCGAGUCUCACGAUUUUUCGAAGUAAGUCUCCUAAGGCCGAAACACGUCGGAUUAAGGUUCAAUGUCCCCUUUUAUUUAUUUUACUAAUGUUUUGUAUCGUACCUUGACAUAAUCAGACGCAGUAAAAAAUAAAAAUAUUCACAAGUUGUUAUUUGUAUCUUGUGCAAAUAUUUUUUUUAUUGAUUCUAUUCUUUUUUAUGAAUGCUUGUUAAAGUAGGAUUCUAUGUUAAUUACAGCUUUGAUAGAAGAUAUAUAUGUACAAUUACUAUGUAUGUUAUGAAUUUAUUUACAAAAGUUCCUAUAUCCUUUUGUUUGAGAAAUAUAUUUAGUGGUAUCUCUUUCAAUAUUAAUGGGUUCUCCAAUACAUUUAUGCGAUAUUAGUAUAUUUGUCAGCGCUUAGGUUCUUAAAAAAAUAUUUUAAUGGCAACACCAAUUGCCACAAAAAUUUGUAGCUUUUGUUGCAACUAAGGUCGGUACAGAAGACUUCGUGGAGACUAGGUUGACACUAAAGUAUUUUCUUCCGUUAAUUCUUUUUUGGACCACUUUUAUGAGUGUUUUGUGGCAACUACGGGCAAGAAAAACUUUCAGUUCCACGAAACAACUUUUACCACUGACCUUUAUAGUUUAAUGGCAUGUUGGAUAUUGUGUUAUUUGGCUAUUUGAUAUGAUAUUCAUGAUAUUUUGUGUGUUCGUUGGUUUUAUUUUGAUGAGCUCAUUUAAAAAUUGAUGACUAUGUCAUAAUUGAUAUAGAAAAGAUAAAAUGAGGGAGGGAAGGUUAUGUUGUCCGUGUAUAAAUUUAUUUGGUUGCAAGUUUUAUGUUACAAAUUUAUUUAAAAGAAAUGCUUAUGGACGAAGGUGAAAACUUAUGGAUCAAAUAGAACUUUUCAUGACCUGGUAGAGUUAUGUGACACAUCGAAAAGAGUCUCAUAUGGUCCUAUUAUUCUGCCUCUAGAUUACUAGACUUGUAUUCGUAUGUGCCAUUGUAUUAUGUGUGGAGAGUAUUGAGAAAGAUGGGGACCGAAAAUUGGCAUUGCUCGUUAGCUUUGUCUAAAGUGUCAGAAGUUUCAUAUAGAUUACUUCUCAAUACAAUUUAUUUCAAAUUCAUUAUCAAUAAUACAUCUUCUAUCCUAGACGGUCAAAUUUUAUCUUAUCUUAUGAUUUAGUUAAGAUUUCAUAUUGUUUAGAUUUACAAAAGAAUGAACGCUCCCUUGUUUCCUCCAAUGGGUGCUUUAUUGUGUCAAAUGAAUAACUUAUCUUUGUCGUACCUAGUUUAAACCUUUGCAAUAUGAUUGGUUGAAAAUGUCGGACUUGAUUAUUACUACAAAUUAUUUUCUGCAACCAAUUGGUUUAGAAUUGUCUUUAGUUCUAUUGUUUUUGUCACUGCUUAUUAAAAGGUGCCCUGUUUUAUGCUGGGUCGCAAAAAUAUGCGUACCUCAUUUUAAGCUUCUUAUCUGGUUAUACUUGUACGAAAUGAAGAAUGAAUUGAAAAUUUUUCUCUGUGUAUUUCAUUCCUGUUACUGUACAUGUAUAUAUACACUUACAUCUGAAGAAUAAGAAUGGCAUGAAAAAAAAAUUAUGUACAUUUGUUCUAUUCUAAUUUGCCUACUAAUAACAAUUUUUUUCUCCUCAACUAACUAUGUUCUGUCACAUGUUAGUCACGUGAGGAAAGAUUCUAGUAUUAAGACUAUCAAAUGGUCUAUAAUUAAUCUAUCAUUUCCUUGAUCCAAAGGUUGUGGCUCCUCCACGUGUUCCAAAUAAUCCACUGAAUACAACCUAUGUAACAUAGGUUACAUCGAAGAUAGCCACUUUGAUCUGAGAACAGAUGAGAUUCUUCUAGGACGUCUUCUUCUUCAUUCCCUCUUCUCUAUUUGUAGGCAAAACUCCAUGAAAAUCAGAACUAAGAUGGGGUUCUUAUUCCCAACAUCCCCCUCAAGUUGGAGGGGAACUUUGUGACCCCUAACUUGGCCAAAAUCUCACGAUGAGAAUCCCCAGAAAGAGGCUUUGUGAAGAUGUCUGCUAGCUGAGCUUUAGUAGGGAUAAAAGAAAGAGUGAUUAAUCCCAAAAGAAAUUAUUAGCGCACAAAAUGACAGUCAAUUUUGACAUGUUUUGUGUGUUCAUGAAAAACGGGGUCAUGGGUGACGUGGCUUGUUGCUUGCUAUCAGAGUGAGAGGAAUUGGUAAAGUGACUGGUGCAGAGAGAUCCUCAAGUACUCGUACUAACCACGUAAGUUCUGUAAUAACCCUUCUCAUAGAUCUGUAUUAUGCAGAAGAUAAAGAAAUUGAUACCUGCUUCUUUGGUUUCCAGUAAAUAGGAGCUUCUCCCAAUGUUAUGAAAAAACCACUAACGGACCUCCUUGAAUCCUUGCAAGACGCCUAAUCAGCGUUGUAAAAUGCUAGCAAGGAAAAUGAUGGUUCUGAUGAAAUGAGAAUACCUUGACCCAGAUUAGAGCUGAGGUAUUUGAGUACUCGUAAAGCAGCAAAGAAGUGAGAAACACAUGGUUUCUGCAUGUAUUGACUGAGGGUGAGUAUAGCAAAAGAAGAAUUCAAUCGAGUAUUAGUUAAAUAAUUUAACUCUCUGACCAAGUGAUGAAAUACAGUGGGAUUUUGCAGAGGUUGUCCAUUAUCAGCUUGAAGCUUGGAGGAAGGAUCCAAAGGGGAGCUGACUCGAGGCAAAUGAGACACAUCAAACUUCUUCAACAUGUCUAAG